GCUGAGAACAGCUGCAGAUGACUGACUCAGUGUGUUUGCAUAUGUGUGCUGCCUCUCUGCUUCCAGCAGUUAAGAGCUCAGUGUUGAUCAGUGGCUGUCCAGACCUUUCAGAGACACUGACACACCUGCAGCACAAUGAGGAUGUCACUGACUCUGCUGCUGGCUGUCCUGGAGCUCCUUGUUCAGGGUUCAUCAGGUGAAAUCACUUUGACUCAGACUCCUGGAUCUCAGUCUGUUGUUCCAGGAGAAACUUUCUCCAUUAGAUGUCAAACCAGUUCAAGUGUUAACAACUGGCUUCACUGGUAUCUUCAGAAAUCUGGAGAAGCUCCUAAACUACUGAUGUAUGCUUCAACUCGUCAGUCUGGAGUUUCUGAUCGUUUUCGUGGAAGUGGAUCUGGCAGUGAUUUCACUCUGACCAUCAGUGGAGUUCAGGCUGAAGAUUCAGGAGUUUAUUACUGUCAGCAGGGUAACAGCACACCGUUCACACAGUGAAACAACGUCGUACAAAAACCUCUUUCAGCUAAAGAGGAACUGAUCUGAAUGAACAACUGCUCUCAACCUCUUGGUGCAAAUGUGUUUUAUUGAUAAUUUAGUUCAUAAAAAAGAAAUUUUUUUUCAAAUUUGAUUUGAUUUUUGGUUUUAAAAAAAUGAAAGCAUUUUAUUUGCCUUUUACAAAAUAUCAUAUCCAUGUCUUCUCUAUUUUAAUAGAAAAAUAAUGGAUUUUUCUAUAAAUUCUCAAAUCUUUCAACCUCAAUGAAUCUGCCAGAAGAAAAAAAUGCUUAUAACAAUUUAGACAUUAUUUUUACUUUGAUACCAGAGGUUCAGACAUUGAUGUUUGUGUUUUUUCAGGAGACAAACAUUUACAGCGAUCUACAAACUGUACAACCACUACUUUAUAUUCCAUCAAAGUGUCUGUAUUAAUUUGUCAGGUAAAAAUAUGGAAUAAUAUUUAUAAAACAGUGAGGACUUCAUUCACUUUAGUGACAUAUUUCAUUGGAGGAAGAUUGAAAAGCUUCAAAAGCAGCAGAACGUCCUUCUUUUCAUUUGUGUUUGAGGCUCAUUUCUUCAUUUAUUACACACUUUUAUUACAGCAUCUAAACAAAGCUAAUCUUGAUUGAAGGCAGGAACAGACAGAACUGUUUAUAUAUUUUUUAAUGAUUAAUAAUUAAAACAAAUGCAGUUUUAUUUUUUGCAAAAGAUCACAGGAAAAAUAUAAUUUGGGUUCAUGGAGAUGAAAGAAACUUCAGAGAUUGUAUUUUUGAUAAACUCUUUAUUUCAAUUAACCCUUGUGCUAUCUUAGUUGACCCCACCCUUACAUUGACGUGUUCUCCCUACCAUGACAAAAGUGGAUAAAAGUGGAAAGAUUUCAUGUA